GGUCAAGUGAAGAAGCGCAUACGGUGGAUGCCUUGGCAGUCAGAGGCGAUGAAAGACGUGGUAGCCUGCGAAAAGCUUCGGGGAGUCGGCAAACAGACUGUGAUCCGGAGAUGUCUGAAUGGGGGAACCCAGCCAUCAUAAGAUGGUUAUCUUGUACUGAAUACAUAGGUGCAAGAGGCGAACCAGGGGAACUGAAACAUCUAAGUACCCUGAGGAAAAGAAAUCAACCGAGAUUCCCUUAGUAGUGGCGAGCGAACGGGGACCAGCCCUUAAGUUGUAUUGAGAUUAGCGGAACGUUCUGGAAAGGACGGCCAUAGUGGGUGAUAGCCCUGUACGCGAAAAUCCCUUUGCAAUGAAAUCGAGUAGGACGGGGCACGAGAAACCUUGUCUGAAUAUGGGGGGACCAUCCUCCAAGGCUAAAUACUACUGACUGACCGAUAGUGAACCAGUACCGUGAGGGAAAGGCGAAAAGAACCGCGGAGAGCGGAGUGAAAUAGAUCCUGAAACCGUAUGCGUACAAGCAGUGGGAGCCCACUUUGUUGGGUGACUGCGUACCUUUUGUAUAAUGGGUCAGCGACUUAUUUUCAGUGGCGAGCUUAACCGAAUAGGGGAGGCGUAGCGAAAGCGAGUCUUAAUAGGGCGUCUAGUCGCUGGGAAUAGACCCGAAACCGGGCGAUCUAUCCAUGGGCAGGUUGAAGGUUGGGUAACACUAACUGGAGGACCGAACCGACUACCGUUGAAAAGUUAGCGGAUGACCUGUGGAUCGGAGUGAAAGGCUAAUCAAGCUCGGAGAUAGCUGGUUCUCCUCGAAAGCUAUUUAGGUAGCGCCUCAUGUAUCACUGUAGGGGGUAGAGCACUGUUUCGGCUAGGGGGUCAUCCCGACUUACCAAACCGAUGCAAACUCCGAAUACCUACAAGUGCCGAGCAUGGGAGACACACGGCGGGUGCUAACGUCCGUCGUGAAAAGGGAAACAACCCAGACCGUCAGCUAAGGUCCCAAAGUCAUGGUUAAGUGGGAAACGAUGUGGGAAGGCUUAGACAGCUAGGAGGUUGGCUUAGAAGCAGCCACCCUUUAAAGAAAGCGUAAUAGCUCACUAGUCGAGUCGGCCUGCGCGGAAGAUGUAACGGGGCUCAAACCAUGCACCGAAGCUACGGGUAUCAUCUUAUGGAUGAUGCGGUAGAGGAGCGUUCUGUAAGCCUGUGAAGGUGAGUUGAGAAGCUUGCUGGAGGUAUCAGAAGUGCGAAUGCUGACAUGAGUAACGACAAUGGGUGUGAAAAACACCCACGCCGAAAGACCAAGGUUUCCUGCGCAACGUUAAUCGACGCAGGGUUAGUCGGUCCCUAAGGCGAGGCUGAAAAGCGUAGUCGAUGGAAAACAGGUUAAUAUUCCUGUACUUCUGGUUAUUGCGAUGGAGGGACGGAGAAGGCUAGGCCAGCCUGGCGUUGGUAGUCCAGGUUUAAGGUGGUAGGCUGAGAUCUUAGGUAAAUCCGGGAUCUUAAGGCCGAGAGCUGAUGACGAGUGUUCUUUUAGAACACGAAGUGGUUGAUGCCAUGCUUCCAAGAAAAGCUUCUAAGCUUCAGGUAACCAGGAACCGUACCCCAAACCGACACAGGUGGUUGGGUAGAGAAUACCAAGGCGCUUGAGAGAACUCGGGUGAAGGAACUAGGCAAAAUGGCACCGUAACUUCGGGAGAAGGUGCGCCGGUGGAGGUGAAGCAUUUACUGCGUAAGCCCCUGCCGGUCGAAGAUACCAGGCCGCUGCGACUGUUUAUUAAAAACACAGCACUCUGCAAACACGAAAGUGGACGUAUAGGGUGUGACGCCUGCCCGGUGCCGGAAGGUUAAUUGAUGGGGUUAGCGCAAGCGAAGCUCUUGAUCGAAGCCCCGGUAAACGGCGGCCGUAACUAUAACGGUCCUAAGGUAGCGAAAUUCCUUGUCGGGUAAGUUCCGACCUGCACGAAUGGCGUAACGAUGGCGGCGCUGUCUCCACCCGAGACUCAGUGAAAUUGAAAUCGCUGUGAAGAUGCAGUGUAUCCGCGGCUAGACGGAAAGACCCCGUGAACCUUUACUAUAGCUUUGCACUGGACUUUGAAUUUGCUUGUGUAGGAUAGGUGGGAGGCUUUGAAGCGUGGACGCCAGUCUGCGUGGAGCCAACCUUGAAAUACCACCCUGGCAACUUUGAGGUUCUAACUCAGGUCCGUUAUCCGGAUCGAGGACAGUGUAUGGUGGGUAGUUUGACUGGGGCGGUCUCCUCCUAAAGAGUAACGGAGGAGUACGAAGGUGCGCUCAGACCGGUCGGAAAUCGGUCGUAGAGUAUAAAGGCAAAAGCGCGCUUGACUGCGAGACAGACACGUCGAGCAGGUACGAAAGUAGGUCUUAGUGAUCCGGUGGUUCUGUAUGGAAGGGCCAUCGCUCAACGGAUAAAAGGUACUCCGGGGAUAACAGGCUGAUACCGCCCAAGAGUUCAUAUCGACGGCGGUGUUUGGCACCUCGAUGUCGGCUCAUCACAUCCUGGGGCUGAAGCCGGUCCCAAGGGUAUGGCUGUUCGCCAUUUAAAGUGGUACGCGAGCUGGGUUUAGAACGUCGUGAGACAGUUCGGUCCCUAUCUGCCGUGGACGUUUGAGAUUUGAGAGGGGCUGCUCCUAGUACGAGAGGACCGGAGUGGACGAACCUCUGGUGUUCCGGUUGUCACGCCAGUGGCAUUGCCGGGUAGCUAUGUUCGGAAAAGAUAACCGCUGAAAGCAUCUAAGCGGGAAACUUGCCUCAAGAUGAGAUCUCACUGGAACCUUGAGUUCCCUAAAGGGCCGUCGAAGACUACGACGUUGAUAGGUUGGGUGUGUAAGCGCUGUGAGGCGUUGAGCUAACCAAUACUAAUUGCCCGUGAGGCUUGACCAUAUAACACCC
rnacentral:rRNA from 1 species